rnacentral:rRNA from 1 species
GGGUUGUGAGGUUAAGCGACUAAGCGUACACGGUGGAUGCCCUGGCAGUCAGAGGCGAUGAAGGGCGUGCUAAUCUGCGAUAAGCGCCGGUAAGGUGAUAUGAACCGUUAUAACCGGCGAUACCCGAAUGGGGAAACCCAGUGUGACUCGUCACACUAUCAUUAACUGAAUCCAUAGGUUAAUGAGGCGAACCGGGGGAACUGAAACAUCUAAGUACCCCGAGGAAAAGAAAUCAACCGAGAUUCCCCCAGUAGCGGCGAGCGAACGGGGAGGAGCCCAGAGCCUGAAUCAGCAUGUGUGUUAGUGGAAGCGUCUGGAAAGGCGCGCGAUACAGGGUGACAGCCCCGUACACAAAAGCGCAUGUGCUGUGAGCUCGAUGAGUAGGGCGGGACACGUGGUAUCCUGUCUGAAUAUGGGGGGACCAUCCUCCAAGGCUAAAUACUCCUGACUGACCGAUAGUGAACCAGUACCGUGAGGGAAAGGCGAAAAGAACCCCGGCGAGGGGAGUGAAAAAGAACCUGAAACCGUGUACGUACAAGCAGUGGGAGCACCCUUUGGGGUGUGACUGCGUACCUUUUGUAUAAUGGGUCAGCGACUUAUAUUCUGUAGCAAGGUUAACCGAAUAGGGGAGCCGGAGGGAAACCGAGUCUUAAUUGGGCGUUAAGUUGCAGGGUAUAGACCCGAAACCCGGUGAUCUAGCCAUGGGCAG